AUUGAACGCUGGCGGCAGGCCUAACACAUGCAAGUCGAACGGUAACAUGAAGCAGCUUGCUGCUUCGCUGACGAGUGGCGGACGGGUGAGUAAUGUCUGGGAAGCUGCCUGAUGGAGGGGGAUAACUACUGGAAACGGUAGCUAAUACCGCAUAAUGUCGCAAGACCAAAGAGGGGGACCUUCGGGCCUCUUGCCAUCGGAUGUGCCCAGAUGGGAUUAGCUUGUUGGUGGGGUAACGGCUCACCAAGGCGACGAUCCCUAGCUGGUCUGAGAGGAUGACCAGCCACACUGGAACUGAGACACGGUCCAGACUCCUACGGGAGGCAGCAGUGGGGAAUAUUGCACAAUGGGCGCAAGCCUGAUGCAGCCAUGCCGCGUGUAUGAAGAAGGCCUUCGGGUUGUAAAGUACUUUCAGCGGGGAGGAAGGGAGUAAAGUUAAUACCUUUGCUCAUUGACGUUACCCGCAGAAGAAGCACCGGCUAACUCCGUG
rnacentral:rRNA from 1 species